rnacentral:rRNA from 1 species
UGAGCAAUCUGCCCAUCUCUUUGGAAUAAGCGUUGGAAACGACGUCUAAUGCCGAAUACGACCUCCUUUCGCAUGAUCGGAGGUGGAAAGCUCCGGCGGAGAUGGAUGAGCUCGCGGCCUAUCAGCUAGUUGGUGAGGUAACGGCCGACCAAGGCGACGACGGGUAGCCGGCCUGAGAGGGUGACCGGCCACACUGGGACUGAGACACGGCCCAGACUCCGUACGGGAGCAG